UGGGUCACGAGGUAGGUCCUAGCGAGCCCAACCUCCCACCCGUGUUUACUGUAACCUUAGUUGCUUCGGCGGGCCCGCCUUUAAGGCCGCCGGGGGGCAUCAGCCCCCGGGCCCGCGCCCGCCGGAGACACCACGAACUCUGUCUGAUCUAGUGAAGUCUGAGUUGAUUGUAUCGCAAUCAGUUAAAACUUUCAACAAUGGAUCUCUUGGUUCCGGCAUCGAUGAAGAACGCAGCGAAAUGCGAUAACUAGUGUGAAUUGCAGAAUUCCGUGAAUCAUCGAGUCUUUGAACGCACAUUGCGCCCCCUGGUAUUCCGGGGGGCAUGCCUGUCCGAGCGUCAUUGCUGCCCAUCAAGCACGGCUUGUGUGUUGGGUCGUCGUCCCCUCUUCGGGGGGGACGGGCCCCAAAGGCAGCGGCGGCACCGCGUCCGAUCCUCGAGCGUAUGGGGCUUUGUCACCCGCUCUGUAGGCCCGGCCGGCGCUUGCCGAACGCAAAACAACCAUUCUUUCCAGGUUGACCUCGGACAGGUAGGGACCCGCUGAUUAAGCAUAUCAAUA
rnacentral:rRNA from 1 species